AUUGAACGCUGGCGGCAUGCUUUACGCAUGCCAGUCGAACGGUAACAGGCCGCAAGGUGCUGACGAGUGGCGGACGGGUGAGUAAUGCAUCGGAACGUGCCCAGUCGUUGGGGAUAACUACUCGAAAGAGUAGCUAAUACCGCAUACGAUCUAUGGAUGAAAGCGGGGGACCGUAAGGCCUCGCGCGAUUGGACCGGCCGAUGUCAGAUUAGGUAGUUGGUGGGGUAAAGGCUCACCAAGCCAACGAUCUGUAGCUGGUCUGAGAGGACGACCAGCCACACUGGGACUGAGACACGGCCCAGACUCCUACGGGAGGCAGCAGUGGGGAAUUUUGGACAAUGGGCGCAAGCCUGAUCCAGCAAUGCCGCGUGCAGGAAGAAGGCCUUCGGGUUGUAAACUGCUUUUGUACGGAACGAAACGGCUCUGGUUAAUACCCGGGGCUAAUGACGGUACCGUAAGAAUAAGCACCGGCUAACUACGUG
rnacentral:rRNA from 1 species